UACGUAGGGUGCGAGCGUUGUCCGGAAUUACUGGGCGUAAAGAGCUCGUAGGUGGUUUGUCGCGUUGUUCGUGAAAACUCACAGCUCAACUGUGGGCGUGCGGGCCGAUACGGGCAGACUGGAGUACUGCAGGGGAGACUGGAAUUCCUGGUGUAGCGGUGAAAUGCGCAGAUAUCAGGAGGAACACCGGUGGCGAAGGCGGGUCUCUGGGCCGAUACUGACACUGGAGGAGCGAAAGCGUGGGGAGCGAACAGG
rnacentral:rRNA from 1 species